GACAGAGGGUGCAAACGUUGUUCGGAUUUACUGGGCGUAAAGCGCGUGUAGGCGGCUUGGCAAGUCGGAUGUGAAAGCCCACGGCUCAACCGUGGAAGCGCAUCCGAAACUGCUUCGCUCGAGUCUCGGAGAGGAAGGUGGAAUGCUUGGUGUAGAGGUGAAAUUCGUAGAUAUCGGGAGGAACACCAGUGGCGAAGGCGACUACCUGGCCUGUUCUUGACGCUGAGGCGCGAAAGCUAGGGGAGCAAACGGG
rnacentral:rRNA from 1 species